rnacentral:RNase_P_RNA from 1 species
GCAGCCGCUCAGGCGAUCGCUCGGCGCCUCGAGCGCCGGGAGGAAAGUCCGGGCUCCGCAGGGCAAGAUGCCGGGUAACGCCCGGUGAGGGUGACCUCGAGGAAAGUGCCACAGAAAACGACGAAACCGCCGGCGCGACGCGUGCGUCCCGCCGGUAAGGGUGAAACGGUGGAGUAAGAGCCCACCGCGCGGCCGGUAACGGUCGCGGCACGGCAAACCCCAUCUGGAGCAAGGCCAUGUAGAGGGGCGUUCGAGGGCUGCCCGCCCGAGCCCCUGGGUAGGCCGCACGAGGCGCGCGGUGACGCGCGUCCCAGAGGAAUGACCGCCGUGCACGGAGGAGCAAUCCUCCGUGCAUCACAGAACCCGGCUUACGGGCGACUGCGACC